UACGGGGGGAGCAAGCGUUGUUCGGAUUUACUGGGCGUAAAGGGCGCGUAGGCGGCGUGACAAGUCACUUGUGAAAUCUCCGGGCUUAACCCGGAGCGGCCAAGUGAUACUGUCGUGCUAGAGUGCGGAAGGGGCUACUGGAAUUCUCGGUGUAGCGGUGAAAUGCGCAGAUAUCAGGAGGAACACCGGUGGCGAAGGCGGUUCUCUGGGCAUUACCUGACGCUGAGGAGCGAAAGUGUGGGGAGCGAACAGG
rnacentral:rRNA from 1 species